UGGUAAAAACCUUAAAAAAUAAAUUUUAAAAAAAUCUACUGACCAGCUUUUCCCCAGAACGAUGCCUGUCCCUGAGAGCAAAGAGUGUCACAAGAGACGCCGUCAACCUAGGCCACCUUCUGCCGACCUCGCAGAAUCUGGGGGCUCGGCCGGAAGGACCCCGAAGGCCGAGGAACCCGCAGGCAGUAAGCACGUGGCUCCAGCAGGCCCGUAACCUCAGAGCACACCUGCGAGGCCACGUGGGAGGCCUGGCCCUGGGUGGGGACGGCAGUGGGAGGAGCUUGGGGCCCACACCCUGCAAGCCGGAUCACAAGACCCUCUCGCAGACAGGGCUGUGCGUUUUGCAGGGACCAGCUUCAAGCAGGUGGGGAAACCGAGGCUCAGGGAAGCUGGGUGCCUUGUCCGAGCUCAGGCUCAAACCCAGGACCAUCCCAGACGAGGCUGUGGCUGGCCUGUCACCUUCGGAAGUGAUGACAGCGAUGGGAGGAGUGGCUGCGACGUGCCUGUCACCCUCCCUGUCACCUGGCAGACCAGAGUCCUGGCCCGGAGCCAGGCAGGGCACCUGUCCUUUAUCUGCAGAUCAGUAUUUGUCACCCUGCCUGGAAAAGGGGGUGGCUUGGCAGCACCAGCGAGCUGCCAGUCUCCGACGACUGUGAGCUCACUGUGAGCUUUCUCUUACAGAUCGUUUUGUCACCUGCCUUCAGACAAAAGCGGGGAUCUCAGCUCGAGGCGGCGAGAUUAGUGUCAGGAAUUUGCUCACGAGGUGACAGGCACCAGAAAAUCAGGAGGCGCAGAAAAUCAGGAGGCGGCUCUGGCAGGCUCUGCCGAUCCAGCAGAAACGUCACGAUGGUCCUCUGUGACAAACGGAGUCAACGAGCUACGGCAGUGGGGGCAGGAUCUGGGACUCCGACGGGCCUCCAGCCCCAACGACCGUGCCCGUGUCUUGACGGAGUCUGGGCUCACGGCUAACCACGGCCAUCCACGGCCGUCAGACCUGCGGCCGGACCUGGGUAUUCAUGCGUUCUGGGCGCCGCGAUGUCUACCAGCUCGCGUGCUUGUUCUCAACGCUCCGGAGGGAGCUGUGACAUCCCGUUGGCCAGGAUGACAGGAUGCCAGGCAAGGCCAAGACGGGGCAUGCCCCACCCCCCAGGAAUCUUCCCAGAGGUCCCCACUCACUCCCAGAAUGAAAACCCUGACCCUGUCCCAGCUGUUCCUGCUGCUCCUAACUCCAAGUGGCGUCUGAAGCUGACAGGGACAUGCUCAGGUGAGCGGCUGCCUUGGUCACCUGCAGCGAGACCAGAUGACCAGGGUAACCCAGACGGAAAAGGCAGGGCAUGGACCAACUCAGACAAACCGUUUCCAGCUGUCCGUGAAUUUAGAGGCGAAGGACAAAAAAAAAGGAGGAAAGAUGGGGACCAGCAGGUGGUGUGGUGGUUAAGGUGCUGGACACUCCCACA